rnacentral:rRNA from 1 species
UUCCGGUUGAUCCUGCCAGAGGUUACUGCUAUCGAGAUUCGACUAAGCCAUGCGAGUCGAAUGUUCUUCGUGAACAUGGCGGACUGCUCAGUAACACGUGGACAACCUACCCUUGGGUCUGGCAUAAUCCUGGGAAACUGGGUAUAAUUCCAGAUAGGUCACAGAUGCUGGAAUGCACUGUGGCCGAAAGCUCCGGCGCCCAAGGAUGGGUCUGCGGCCUAUCAGGGUUGUAGUGGGUGUAACGGACCUACUAGCCUACGACGGGUACGGGUUGUGAGAGCAAGAGCCCGGAGAUGGAUUCUGAGACACGAAUCCAGGCCCUACGGGGUGCAGCAGGCGCGAAAACUUUACAAUGCGGGAAACCGUGAUAAGGGAAUCUCGAGUGCCAGCAUAUAAUGUUGGCUGUCCAGAUGCCUAAAAAGCAUCUGUUAGCAAGGGCCGGGCAAGACCGGUGCCAGCCGCCGCGGUAACACCGGCGGCCCGAGUGGUAACCGCUUUUAUUGGGUCUAAAGGGUCUGUAGCCGGCCAAGUAAGUCCCUUGGGAAAUCUGGCAGCUUAACUGUCAGGCUGCUAGGGGAUACUGCUAGGCUUGGGACCGGGAGAGGUGAGAGGUACCUUGGGGGUAGGGGUGAAAUCUUGUGAUCCUCGGGGGACCACCAGUGGCGAAGGCGUCUCACCAGAACGGGUCCGACGGUAAGGGACGAAAGCUAGGGGCACGAACCGGAUUAGAUACCCGGGUAGUCCUAGCCGUAAACGAUGCUCGCUAGGUGUCAGUCACGGUGCGACCGUGAUUGGUGCCGUAGGGAAGCCGUGAAGCGAGCCACCUGGGAAGUAUGGCCGCAAGGCUGAAACUUAAAGGAAUUGGCGGGGGAGCACUACAACGGGUGGAGCCUGCGGUUUAAUUGGAUUCAACGCCGGGA